rnacentral:snoRNA from 1 species
ACCCCCUGGCAGUGGGCAUGGAGACACCUGAUUGGUGGUGUUGCUCUUAUAUCAGUCAGGGGCAAAGCAGAUGUACAGUCCUUAGUUCAUUCUAGCUUGAUGGUCGGGUCGGUGGCCAGAGCUGUUUCAUGCCUGAGGCACAUAA